UACGGAGGGUGCAAGCGUUAAUCGGAAUUACUGGGCGUAAAGCGCACGUAGGUGGUUUGUUAAGCUAGCUGUGAAAUCCCCGGGCUCAACCUGGGAACUGCAUUUGUGACUGCAUCGCUGGAGUGCGGCAGAGGGGGAUGGAAUUCCGCGUGUAGCAGUGAAAUGCGUAGAUAUGCGGAGGAACACCGAUGGCGAAGGCAAUCCCCUGGGCCUGCACUGACGCUCAUGCACGAAAGCGUGGGGAGCAAACAGG
rnacentral:rRNA from 1 species